GACGAACGCUGGCGGCGUGCUUAACACAUGCAAGUCGAACGAAGUGGCGAACGGGUGAGUAACGUGUAAUCAACCUGCCCUUCAGAGGGGGACAACAGUUGGAAAGGACUGCUAAUCCCGAAUACUGAAGGAGGGGAUUGCGUCUGAUUAGCUAGUUGGGGGGGUAACGGCCCAACAAGGCGAUGAUCAGUAGCCGGGCUGAGAGGAUGAACCGGCACAAUGGGACUGGGACACGGCCCAGGCUCCUACGGGAGGCAGCAGUGGGGAAUCUUCCGCAAAUGACGAAAGUCUGACGGAGCAACGCCGCGUGAGUGAUGACGGCCUUCGGGUUGUAAAGCUCUGUUAAUCGGGACGCGGUACCGGAAUAGAAAGCCACGGCUAACUACGUGCCAGCAGCCGCGGUAAUUC
rnacentral:rRNA from 1 species